GGUGUUCUAGGUUCGAUUUAGCUUGCGGAGCUUAUCGGAUUGAGUUGCUGUGAGAAGUGUGGGUGCGGUGUGAAUUAAGUAUAUAUAUGUGCAUUGGAAUUGAAUUGUGGGCAUUUGGAAGCUUGGUGGUGAUUGGAGCUAAGAUUUUGGUUGGUUUCUCAAAGCUUGAGGGGCUGUGGUUGUGAUUCGUGUGGCUGCCUUGGACUAAAUAUAGUGAUCGGCCAAGAUGCAGGUCGAAAAGCUUCUCGCUAGGCAUCUGGAUCUCUGAAGAGGAGCGGUUCCUGCGUUUUGGUGUUUAUCAAUUUAUGUAUAUAAGUACUUAGCUUUCUCUCCAAGAAACUUACCUAUUUUGUUCCUCAUAGAGGUUACAGGAGAGUUAGGGACUUAUUACUAUACGUUGGGUGUUUGGGAUACUUAUGUAAUUAUAUGUAAAUAUUCUCCGGCCAGCCUUGACUUCGCAGGCAGAGUCAGGAGUUAGUUUCACUAUAUUCUUGGCUUUCUUUUAUUCUUUUGCUUAUUCAUAUCUAUAAUCUUUAGGUUUCUUCGCACGCAAGUUAUUCCGUUUCGGAGCGUUGCGCUUUUUA